rnacentral:rRNA from 1 species
GCGGCGUGCUUAACACAUGCAAGUCGAACGGAAAGGCCCUGCUUUUGUGGGGUGCUCGAGUGGCGAACGGGUGAGUAACACGUGAGUAACCUGCCCUUGACUUUGGGAUAACUUCAGGAAACUGGGGCUAAUACCGGAUAGGAGCUCCUGCUGCAUGGUGGGGGUUGGAAAGUUUCGGCGGUUGGGGAUGGACUCGCGGCUUAUCAGCUUGUUGGUGGGGUAGUGGCUUACCAAGGCUUUGACGGGUAGCCGGCCUGAGAGGGUGACCGGCCACAUUGGGACUGAGAUACGGCCCAGACUCCUACGGGAGGCAGCAGUGGGGAAUAUUGCACAAUGGGCGGAAGCCUGAUGCAGCAACGCCGCGUGCGGGAUGACGGCCUUCGGGUUGUAAACCGCUUUCGCCUGUGACGAAGCGUGAGUGACGGUAAUGGGUAAAGAAGCACCGGCUAACUACGUGCCAGCAGCCGCGGUGAUACGUAGGGUGCGAGCGUUGUCCGGAUUUAUUGGGCGUAAAGGGCUCGUAGGUGGUUGAUCGCGUCGGAAGUGUAAUCUUGGGGCUUAACCCUGAGCGUGCUUUCGAUACGGGUUGACUUGAGGAAGGUAGGGGAGAAUGGAAUUCCUGGUGGAGCGGUGGAAUGCGCAGAUAUCAGGAGGAACACCAGUGGCGAAGGCGGUUCUCUGGGCCUUUCCUGACGCUGAGGAGCGAAAGCGUGGGGAGCGAACAGGCUUAGAUACCCUGGUAGUCCACGCUGUAAACGGUGGGUACUAGGUGUGGGGUCCAUUCCACGGGUUCCGUGCCGUAGCUAACGCUUUAAGUACCCCGCCUGGGGAGUACGGCCGCAAGGCUAAAACUCAAAGGAAUUGACGGGGCCCCGCACAAGCGGCGGAGCAUGCGGAUUAAUUCGAUGCAACGCGUAGAACCUUACCUGGGUUUGACAUGGAUCGGGAGUGCUCAGAGAUGGGUGUGCCUCUUUUGGGGUCGGUUCACAGGUGGUGCAUGGCUGUCGUCAGCUCGUGUCGUGAGAUGUUGGGUUAAGUCCCGCAACGAGCGCAACCCUUGUUCACUGUUGCCAGCACGUUAUGGUGGGGACUCAGUGGAGACCGCCGGGGUCAACUCGGAGGAAGGUGGGGAUGACGUCAAGUCAUCAUGCCCCUUAUGUCCAGGGCUUCACGCAUGCUACAAUGGCUGGUACAGAGAGUGGCGAGCCUGUGAGGGUGAGCGAAUCUCGGAAAGCCGGUCUCAGUUCGGAUUGGGGUCUGCAACUCGACCUCAUGAAGUCGGAGUCGCUAGUAAUCGCAGAUCAGCAACGCUGCGGUGAAUACGUUCCCGGGGCUUGUACACACCGCCCGUCAAGUCAUGAAAGUUGGUAACACCCGAAGCCGGUGGCCUAACCAUUGUGGGGGAGCCGUCGAAGGUGGGACUGGUGAUUAGGACUAAAU